GAUGAACGCUGGCGGCGUGCUUAACACAUGCAAGUCGAACGAUGAAGCCCAGCUUGCUGGGUGGAUUAGUGGCGAACGGGUGAGCAACACGUGAGCAACCUGCCCCUGACUCUGGGAUAAGCGCUGGAAACGGCGUCUAAUACUGGAUAUGUCCCGUCACCGCAUGGUGUGCGGGUGGAAAGAUUUUUCGGUUGGGGAUGGGCUCGCGGCCUAUCAGCUUGUUGGUGAGGUAAUGGCUCACCAAGGCGUCGACGGGUAGCCGGCCUGAGAGGGUGACCGGCCACACUGGGACUGAGACACGGCCCAGACGCCUACGGGAGGCAGCAGUGGGGAAUAUUGCACAAUGGGCGGAAGCCUGAUGCAGCAACGCCGCGUGAGGGAUGACGGCCUUCGGGUUGUAAACCUCUUUUAGCAGGGAAGAAGCGAAAGUGACGGUACCUGCAGAAAAAGCACCGGCGAACUACGU
rnacentral:rRNA from 1 species